rnacentral:lncRNA from 1 species
UAAGACGCGCAUUUAGAUCAACGGAACAGAGCAGAGAGUCCAGAAAUAAACCCUCAUGUAUGUGGUCAAAUGACCUUCCACAAGGGGACCAAGAACGCUCCUGGGGAAAGGACAGUCUCUUCAACAAACGGUGCUGGGAAAACUGGGCAUCCACACGCACAAGAAUGAAGCUGGACCCUUACCUUACACGGUACACAAAAAUCAACUAAAAAUGGACUAAAGAUCCAAACACAAGACCUAGAACUAGAAAACUCCUAGAAUAAACACGGGGGAAAGCUUCCUGUAAGUUGUCUGUAUCAUGUACAUAAAGCCCGGAUGAAAGAGUCGCCCUUGCACGAGGCUCACCUUUCACCCAGCUGUCCCAAAUCAUCUAUCUGAUAAGGGACUGAUAGCCAGAAUUUAUAAGAAACUUUACAGUUCAACAACAAACCCUCCCCAAAAUAACCUGAUUAAAAUGUGGGCAAAGGACUUGAAUAGACAUUUCUCCAAAGAAGAUACACAGAUGGCCAACAGGCGCAUGAAAAGAUGCUCCACAUCACUAAUCAUUAGAGAAAUGCUAAGCAAAACCAAGAUGAGAUGAUGUCACUUCACACCUGUUAGGACGGCCGUUAUCAAAAAGAUGACAGAUACGUGGGAGCACAUCAACUGGGCGGAGUCCGGAGGCUGGGAGCAGAUCUGGAGGGGACACAGCAGCUCCUCUGAGGCUGGACGCCCUCGAGUGGCUGAAUAAUAUUCCAUCGCUUGUGUGGACCCCACUUUCUCCAGUCACCCUCGAUAGACCCUGGGGUGCUCUCACCUUUGGCUGUUGUGAACACUGCUGCCACCAGAAGUGGAACUGCCGGACAUGUGGUGAUUCCACGUUUAAUUUUUUUAGGAAGAGAACAUUGUUUCUUUCGUAGUAGAUUUUCAAUUGUGUAAUAACUUAUCCCAGAGAUGAAACUUUCACUCAGGAGAAGUUUGUCUAAAGCGGUUGAAGAAGUGAGCCAAACUCUCCAUUUCCUUUUCAUUCUAAAAUACAUUUCCAAUAAAGUGGUAAAACGGAAAAAAAUACUACCAUGGGCCUUGGGAGAUGUGGUUCUAGCUUUGGCUUUCAUAGUUUCUAGUUGUAUGACUUUGAAUAAAUCAGUU